rnacentral:rRNA from 1 species
AGUGAACGCUGGCGGUAGGCCUAACACAUGCAAGUCGAACGGCAGCACAGUAAGAGCUUGCUCUUACGGGUGGCGAGUGGCGGACGGGUGAGGAAUACAUCGGAAUCUACUUUUUCGUGGGGUAUAACGUAGGGAAACUUACGCUAAUACCGCAUACGACCUACGGGUGAAAGCAGGGGAUCUUCGGACCUUGCGCGAUUGAAUGAGCCGAUGUCGGAUUAGCUAGUUGGCGGGGGAAAGGCCCACCAAGGCGACGAUCCGUAGCUGGUCUGAGAGGAUGAUCAGCCACACUGGAACUGAGACACGGUCCAGACUCCUACGGGAGGCAGCAGUGGGGAAUAUUGGACAAUGGGCGCAAGCCUGAUCCAGCCAUACCGCGUGGGUGAAGAAGGCCUUCGGGUUGUAAAGCCCUUUUGUUGGGAAAGAAAAGCAGCAGGUUAAUACCCCGCUGUUCUGACGGUACCCAAAGAAUAAGCACCGGCUAACUUCGUG